rnacentral:rRNA from 1 species
CGAGUUUGAUCCUGGCUCAGAACGAACGCUGGCGGCAGGCUUAAUACAUGCAAGUCGAACGGCUGUAGCAAUACAGCAGUGGCAGACGGGUGAGUAACACGUGGGAACCUACCUAGGGGUACUCAAUAACUCAGGGAAACUUGUGCUAAUACCGUAUACGACCUCAGGGUGAAAGAUUUAUCGCCCCUAGAUGGGCCCGCGCUGGAUUAGCUAGUUGGUGGGGUAAAAGCCUACCAAGGCGACGAUCCAUAGCUGGUCUGAGAGGAUGAUCAGCCACACUGGGACUGAGACACGGCCCAGACUCCUACGGGAGGCAGCAGUAGGGAAUCUUGGACAAUGGGCGAAAGCCUGAUCCAGCCAUGCCGCGUGAGUGAUGAAGGCCUUAGGGUUGUANAGCUCUUUCGCCAGGGAAGAUAAUGACGGUACCUGGAUAAGAAGCCCCGGCUAACUUCGUGCCAGCAGCCGCGGUAAUACGAAGGGGGCUAGCGUUGUUCGGAAUUACUGGGCGUAAAGCGCACGUAGGCGGCAUUCCAAGUUGGAGGUGGAAUCCCCGGGCUCUACCUGGGA